rnacentral:rRNA from 1 species
UUAAGUGAAUAAGGGCGCACGGAGGAUGCCUUGGCACUAGGAGUCGAAGAAGGACGCGACAAACGGCGAAACGCCUCGGGGAGCUGUAAGUGAGCAUUGAUCCGGGGGUAUCCGAAUGGGGAAACCCGCUAGUGGUUAUACGCUAGCACCAUAUGGUGAAUACAUAGCCAUAUAGGAGACAGACCCAGGGAACUGAAACAUCUAAGUACCUGGAGGAAAAGAAAGAAAAAUCGAUUCCCGUAGUAGCGGCGAGCGAAGUGGGAAGAGCCCAAACCGGAUUUAUCCGGGGUUGUAGGACCUUCAUAAUUGACAAAUCAUGAUAGCCGAAUGGUCUGGGAAGGCCAACCGUAGGGGGUGAGAGUCCCGUAGGUGAAAUUGUGAGAUGCAUGGAAGGAAUCCUGAGUACGGCGGGACACGUGGAAUCCCGUCGGAAUCAACGAGGACCAUCUCGUAAGGCUAAAUACUACCUAGUGACCGAUAGUGAACCAGUACCGUGAGGGAAAGGUGAAAAGAACCCCGGAAGGGGAGUGAAAGAGAACCUGAAACCGUGUGCCUACAAAUAGUCAGAGCCCGUUAAUGGGUGAUGGCGUGCCUUUUGUAGAAUGAACCGGCGAGUUACGAUAUCGUGCGAGGUUAAGCAGAAGAUGCGGAGCCGUAGCGAAAGCGAGUCUGAAUAGGGCGAAGAGUACGAUGUUGUAGACCCGAAACCGUGUGAGCUAGCCAUGAGCAGGCUGAAGGUCAGGUAACACUGACUGGAGGGCCGAACCAGGGCACGUUGAAAAGUGCUUGGAUGACUUGUGGCUAGGGGUGAAAUUCCAAUCGAACACGGAUAUAGCUGGUUCUCUCCGAAAUAGCUUUAGGGCUAGCCUCGAUGUUAAGUCUACUGGAGGUAGAGCACUGAAUGGGUGAUGGCCCCACCUCGGGGUACUGAUCUCAAUCAAACUCCGAAUGCCAGAUAGAUAUAAUCGGGAGUCAGACUGUGGGUGAUAAGGUCCAUGGUCAAAAGGGAAAGAGCCCAGACCGCCAGCUAAGGCCCCCAAGUGUCCGUUAAGUGGAAAAGGAUGUGGAGAUGCACAGACAACUAGGAGGUUGGCUUAGAAGCAGCCAUCCUUUAAAGAGUGCGUAAUAGCUCACUAGUCGAGUGACUCUGCGCCGAAAAUGUACCGGGGCUAAACGGACCGCCGAAGCUGCGGAUUGACUUUAGAGUCAGUGGUAGGAGAGCGUUCUAACAGCGGUGAAGCAGUACCGGAAGGAGCUGUGGAGCGGUUAGAAGUGAGAAUGCCGGUGUGAGUAGCGAAAGAUAGGUGAGAAUCCUAUCCAUCGAAAGCCUAAGGUUUCCAGGGGAAGGCUCGUCCGCCCUGGGUAAGUCGGGACCUAAGGUGAGGCCGAAAGGCGUAGCCGAUGGACAACAGGUUGAUAUUCCUGUACCACUUAUUAAACUGAUGGAGUGACGGAGAAGGCUAAGUUGAGCGUGUGAUUGGAUUCACGUGUAAGCAGUGAGGUGGUCAUGUAGGCAAAUCCGCAUGGCAUAACAUUGAGCUGUGAUGCCGAAGCCGAAUGGCGAAGUCAACUGACGUCACGCUUCCAAGAAAAGCUUCUAGGGUUAAUUUAAUAAGUGCCCGUACCGAUAACCGACACAGGUAGGCGAGGAGAGAAUCCUAAGAUGAGCGAGAGAACUCUUGUUAAGGAACUCGGCAAAAUGACCCCGUAACUUCGGGAGAAGGGGUGCUUGUGAAAGCAAGCCGCAGUGAAUAGGCCCAGGCGACUGUUUAUCAAAAACACAGGUCUCUGCUAAACCGCAAGGUGAUGUAUAGGGGCUGACGCCUGCCCGGUGCUGGAAGGUUAAGAGGAGAGGUUAGCGCAAGCGAAGCUUUGAAUUGAAGCCCCAGUAAACGGCGGCCGUAACUAUAACGGUCCUAAGGUAGCGAAAUUCCUUGUCGGGUAAGUUCCGACCCGC